GCUGCUGGAGUGCAAGGGCAGGAUCGUAGCUCACUGCAGCCUCGAACACUUGGGUUCAGGUAGAUCCUCUUCGCUCAGCCUCUCAAAGCUCAGGGUACUUUUCUAUGUAUUUUUAAUGUCCAUAAUGCAAAGUGCAACACUGUAACUGCUAAGCAUAGCCUGCCCCCCUCCCGAAUGCUUGAAUUUUGAAAACUAUUGACCCUAUUUCUCCCUUCGGCUACAUCCGCCCCCCAACUCCCUGCUCCGCUUAGUGUAGUAAUCAUUACACUAUCGAGGAGAUAGUGUAAUUCCUUGAAAGACUUGUCUAUGUCUGAUAUUUCCUCCUAUUCUUUCUGGAUCCACUCCAGCCUGGCUUUUGGCUCCCACAGUACCAGAAAUGCCCUGAUUUAAGGCCACCAGUGACAUCCACAGCACCGAAUCCAAUAGCCAUCUCUCAGUCUGACUGAACACUGCCUGGAAUAUAGGAUAUGAUCAGGAGAAUCUGCUCAAGGAAGACAUGGCUUACCUCUUCGGUUCAGGACAAAAACACAAGGGGCCUGUGAAAUACAGACACAGGGAGAAGGCGGCUGUCUGCAAGCCAGGAAGAGAGCCCUCACCGAGAACCACAUCAGCUGGCCCUGACAUUGGACUUCUCAGCCCCCAGAACUGUAAGAAAUAAAUCUCUGUGGAGGUCUGUGGUGUUGUGUUAAGCAGCUCAAGCUGACUGAGAUAUGUCCUCAUUCUGCAGUGCCUCUGUUUCCCCUAGGUAGCAGUAAAAUACCAAUUUCAAUUUUGUUUUUUAAAAAAUUGUUUCUGGGCCAGGCACGGCAGCUCACACUUGUAAUCCCAGCACUU